AGCUUUGUGCAGUGGCAGUAUCGUAGUCAGUGAAGUUUAUCCGAGGCGCGAUUAUUGCUAAGUAUGUUGUUUUCUCAAAAAAAAAAAUACUAAAUAUCAUUACCAUAG
rnacentral:snRNA from 1 species